GUCUCUUUAUAUCCAAUCAGAGGCACUGGGCCGAGGGGCAUCGCUCGCCCCGGCAAGUGACCUCUCGUAUUUCACCUCUACCGCCGCCGCGGUCUCCAUCCCCAGUCUCUGCAGGCGAGAAUCACCAAGAUAGUCCAUUGCGGGGAGACGGGAUCCCGGUGAUAUCCUGCUUCUUUCGACCGCCGGACUGCUGUUCAGACCUUUGCCAAUCUGGCAUUUUAUAUUGGGCAUGGCUUUACCAGACCUUGGGUCCACCAGAUCACCUUACCUGACAUCACUAGAAUGAGGAUAUCUAGCAGGGUCGGUACGAAUGGACUAGGAUCGAAUGGUGAGUUCACACUCGUGCGGAUGUUUGCAGAAGAUGGCAUGGAAGACAGAGAAUAUGACGCUGUGUACAAGAUUGCUCGUGGGGACGGACGUUUGGAGAUUACAGGAGGAUGGCAGCAGUUUGUCCUUGAGAACCCGGGUUGGGGAUGUAAUCGUUUUCACUUUCCACAUGGAAUCAACCCCGACUGCUCGAGUCAUGAAGAUUCAAAGUAACCCGGGUGUAUGCAUCAAGUGCCAGCUGGGCUUUGACAACUGAGUUAACUAGUGCAGCUAUGCAAAUAAAAGGUCUGCAGGAUUUAUGCAUGCAAUUUGUACCCAACUAGGCCCUGUUUAUGACUAUGUGAUGCUCCCACCAUAGCUAUCUUUAAUUUACAAUUGACUAUGGCGCCGAACAGGGCAGAUGCUAUUCCGUAUCCUGUCUUGAGUUGAGAGAUAAGAAAAUCUAGCAGACGAGCAAGGUCUAUUUGUGGUUCAUCACUGACGGGCAAUAUUUAUUUGGUAAAUGUUGUUUACGAUUGA